rnacentral:rRNA from 1 species
AUGUCGCAGCAGACAGCACAGGUGCCGUCGCCGGCGCCUGUGAGGCUCAUCGCGGCGUUCGGCAGCCCGUUCGCGCACCGGGUGGAGGUGGCGCUCACGCUCAAGGGGGUGUCAUACAUAGUUUCAAAUAGCCGGGACCUAACCAACAAGAGCGACCUGCUGCUCGCCCACAACCCCGUCCACUAGUCGGUCCCCGUCCUCCUCCACAGCGACCGCGCCGUCUGCGAGUCCCUCCUCAUCGUCGAGUACAUCGACGAGGCCUUCCACGACGGGGACCUCCUCCCGGCGGACCCCUACGACCGCACCACUGCAAGCUUCUGGGCUGACUUCAUCGCCAACAAGUGCUUGAAGCCGCUGUGGCAGGCGAUGUGGACGGACGGCGAGGAGCAGGCAUGGCUGGCGAGGGAGACCAAGGAGAGCCUGGGCAUCCUGGACGCGCAGCUGGAGGGGAAGAGGUUCUUCGGGGGCGACGCGCUCGGCUUCGUCGACCUCGCCGCAUGCACGCUGGCUCACUGGCUCGGCGUGCUGGAGGAAGUCGCCGGCGUGCGCCUGAUGAAGGAUGGCGAGUACCCUGCUCUGCGCCGGUGAGCCAAGGAGUACACCUCCGACGAGGUCGUCAGGCAGUCCCUGCCAGGCAGGGACGAGCUGGUCGCCUACUUCACCAAAAACCUACGUUGCACCGAUACGGCGAUACCGAUACGGCGAUACGAGUACGGCGAUACGUGA